rnacentral:rRNA from 1 species
UACAGAGGGUGCGAGCGUUGUUCGGAAUUACUGGGCGUAAAUCGCGCGCAGGCGGCCUUUUAAGUCUCGUGGUGAAAUGCCGGGGCUCAACCCCGUGCCCGCCGGAGAUACUGGGAGGCUGGAGACGAGUAGAGGCAAGCGGAAUUCCGGGUGUAGCGGUGGAAUGCGUAGAGAUCCGGAAGAACACCGGAGGCGAAGGCGGCUUGCUGGGCUCUGUCUGACGCUGAGGCGCGGAAGCGUGGGGAGCGAACAGG